UACGUAGGGUGCAAGCGUUAAUCGGAAUUACUGGGCGUAAAGAGCGCGCAGGCGGUCGUUCAAGUCGCGUGUGAAAGCCCCCGGCUCAACUGGGGAGGGUCACGCGAUACUGAUCGACUCGAAGGCAGGAGAGGGUAGUGGAAUUCCCGGUGUAGUGGUGAAAUGCGUAGAUAUCGGGAGGAACACCAGUGGCGAAGGCGACUACCUGGCCUGUUCUUGACGCUGAGGCGCGAAAGCUAGGGGAGCAAGCGGGG
rnacentral:rRNA from 1 species